GCCAGAAUAGUGCAGUGGUCUGAACAUUGAACUACAACUCUGGAGACCAGGGUUCAAAUCUGUGCUCAGCCA